AGCAUUUCCUAUUAAUUCUUGCAUGAAUAUUCACUGUAAAGAGUAGAUAUCCUGGAGGAAAGCAGGUAUAGCAUUAUUGAAAAUAAUUUUUUGCGGACGUUUACCAGCAAAUAGAAUCAAUGAAUUUCUGAAGUGUUUGAGAACUAUUUGAUGAUUCAAUGAAGAAUAGAAUGACAACUUGUCUAGAUUGCUCCUGAAAUAUAUUCAGCUUAUUAAAUGGAUGGUCAGAUAAUAAGCUUGACUUACAACUACACUUACAACUUUGCUAAAGAAAGAACAGCUUGGAUUAACCUUUUCUCCAUGCAAAGAACAAUAAUAAAUCAAGCUAACUGGAAAUACAAUUUUAUUAACUUAACUUCUUAUUCAGAUAGUUUUUGUUAAAGUUUGGGAGUUUUCAUUGCUAUUAUUGGAACCAUUUUUUUUAUUUUAUAGCAACUUUGUUAUCAAACAUAGCUUCUAUUGUUAUUUCAAUCUCCUGAGAAAAUUAAUUUUAUAGGUGAUUUUCCUCCCUAUAAUCACUGAGGCCUGAGUCUUUCUAAAUCAAGCAGAAGAUGGAGAACAUUCGUGCAGUAGAUUGCUUCAGACAUAGUGUAUUCCUGAAAGGAUUGUCCAUCUCUGAACCAAAGUUAUAGUUGCUGUACAUCCAAUAGUUGGCUGUUCUACCUUUUGAAAUAAAAUAGAAUCUAUACUGAUUAUAAGAUUCUUUUCUGGUUAUAUGGAAAGAGAUCCAUGGUCUCAACUUAGAUCACUAAAUUUUCCAAAGCACAAUUUUUUAUGAUAUCAAUUCUUCUCUUUCGUUUCUUUUUAAAGCAUCAUGGAUUGCUAAAAGUUUUGAUUUCAGAAAUUAAAGCCUUUUCUCCAGAAUUCUGACGAUCUGCUCCCAAAAUGGGCAGAAAUUUUAUUGUGAAAUGAAUUUAAAACUAUUUCUUCUGAAUGGACAGAAGAGAUAUCCAUCUUCACAGGCAAUUUCUCUUUAGCUGCCUGGAUUUUCUUGUAAUAAAUACUUAUUUUCUUCAUAAAUAUUAUGACUACAUUAUUGGAAAAACUGCUGGAUCACACCCACAUCUUUAACCUAGUAUCUUGGUUUCUAUAGUAGUCAAAAAAAUGCUAUGGAAAGCCUGUAGAACAUCCCCUCUGAUCACUGCUGUGUUUCAGUCACUGGUCAGAAAAAAUACAGUCUCUGAUUCUGGAAAUGGCUACUAAUAGCUAUGUCUAUAUAUGCCUUGAAUUCCUGUCAUCCAUGAACGUAUCAUAUUCUCUUAAAGCCUUCAAGAUUAGUAAUCAUCAUUCAGGUAAAUGAAAUUUAAAGAUAAGUAACAUUAGUUUUUUAAUUACACAAUGCUUCUUUUAAUUGGACCAGUGAUACAAGUGUUUUUAUUCUGAAGCUUUCUACGUUUCAGGUUCUUAACGUUUUUAUGUUGGAAUCAUGUAUCUGCCGGCCUGAGAGUGGAUGCUAAUUUUAUUCCUUCCAAAUUGUAUUGGUUUUUUUUAGAAGACAAAAAUGAUCAAGAAGACCAAGUAAAGAAAAGGCAGAACUGUAGUUGCAGCACAGAUGGAAAAAAUAAACACUUUCCUAUACUGUUUUUCCAUUGUCUGCUUUUCAUCAAAAAUUUCCAACGUUGAAUUUUUCUUUCGGAGUUUAUUCUUCCAAAUGAAUGUAUUCUUAUCAAAAAGAUAAUUGUUUUUCAUGGAGUAAAUAACUAAGUUACCAACAUAAACACCCAUCUCCAAAGUACAUUAUAGAACAAAUGUUAUUGUUAUGAAAUAGCACAGCUAUUUCAGUUGAUUCUUCAGAAACCAGAAUGGUAAUUGCCUAUUGAAUUGUACAUAAGAAGAAAAAUAAAUAAAUGGACAGUACAGUCAUUCCACCCUAAAGUGCCAGGAUUUUAACUACCAUCUGAGAAUUAAGUAUUGUGAUAUUCUAUACUGCUGCUACCUGUAGUAAACAUAUCCUGUUUCUCUUAGACAACUGCCAAAUUUCAGAUACUGAGAGCAAAAAGAACAUAAUCUGGUGGUAUGAGUACAGGAUGGGAAGAAUCAGCCUUUGGAUCUGAAGCAGAAACCAACAAAUAACCAGUGCAAAUUAAUCAAUUUGCUGGGCCAGCAACUUUUUCCUCAGCCUUUCCAGACAAUUGUCAAUAGCAGCUUGUUAAAGAAAUGGAAUAUGGAAGUUCGUAGAACAUAAGCAUACAGUUCCAGAAAACAAUGUUCCUAAAGUCUCAGCCGCUAAAAAGUGUUCAUGCUUCUUGCAGUUAGAAGUGGCUUCAGAUCAAGCAGUGCCUAAGAGCUGCAGUCUACAUUCCAAAUAAUGGCACUAUCUAUUUCUAAAUCAGGCAGCCUAUCAAACAGCAAUAUUUCUAUACAAAUUAUAAAAAUGGUACUUUAAAUUAAUUUGAACCAAGAGUUGUAUUAAAUAAAAUGUAUUAAACAAUGACUGAGGUAUUGGGUUAUAAUUCUACUAUUAGUCCUAAACCCUAAUUUAACUAGGAAACAAGUACAUGUCCUUGGUUGGAUGAGGAACCCUGCACAUACAUGUGCCCCCUUGCUGCAUUGGUUUUCCAUCCAAAUACCAGAGUUCGGUGGACAAAAAAGGUGAAAUAUGCCAUCAUUUGUUCAGAAGGAAAAGCAAAAUUUGGAUCUAAUCUCUAAAUAGCUGAUGAGUGAAAUUUCAUCUUUUUGAAAACGUGGGUCGCUUGUGGUAUCCUGCCUGAUUGAUAUGUACUCUGCUGGGUCAGACUCUGAAGUUCACGUGUCACAUAUUUUUGAUAACUAAAAAUGUGAGAUUUCCAUUAAUAAAUGCUUUCUGUCGUUUCUAGUGGUUUUAACUGUUUUUUUCAAUCAGUUCUUGUAUUCAGUAAUACGUGCUUUUUGUGAUUAAGUUCUUUUCUGAUUUUAAAAAUACAUAUUGAGGGCUGAACUAAAUGCAGAAACCCAUGCUAAUAAAAAAAAGAUGCAAUUUUAGAAUACUUUUUUAAACAUUUGUGGAAGAGUCCCUAAAAAUAAAACUCAAACAAUUGUCAAAGAUAUUCAUGCUUAUAUAGUGGGCUUCUGAACUCUUCAUCCCACACUGUUCCCAUAUAGAAAGAUGACCUGUGAAGAUACUAUUAUAAAAUACUAUGUGGAAAUCCCUGAUACACAUAUAUGAAUUCUGAUCACGCAACACAUGCAACACUGAGAAAUAUAUCAUACCUUAUUAUUGUGAGAUACUUCCCAUUGUGAAAUUAUUGUAAGAUACACUCUUAUUGUGAGAAACACUCUUGUACUGGAUGCAGAGUGACUAUGAAUAUUUUUCAUAUUGCAGCGUUUUACAAUUUCAAAUCAAGUUUACAGUUCAGAUUGAGUAUCUUAAGAAAAUGUUUGCAGUAUAAUUCUGUUGCAGGAUAAAAUAUGUUAUAUGCUUUCUGUAUCUCUCUCUAAUCCUUCGAGCUUCUCUCUGUAUAUGAUUUAGGGUUACAUUCCGAAAAGCAAAUGGGAGAUGGAUACUUCUGAAGCAAAAUUAGACAAAUUGGAUGGGUUGCGAACUGGUACUAAGAGGAAACGUGACUGGGAAGCAAUUGCCAGCAGAAUGGAAGAUUACCUUCAGCUUCCAGAUGAUUAUGAUAGUCGUGCUUCUGAACCUGGGAAAAAAAGGGUAAGGUGGGCAGACCUUGAAGAAAAGAAGGAUGCAGACAGAAAGAGGGCCAUUGGUUUUGUUGUGGGACAAACAGACUGGGAGAAAAUCACAGAUGAAAGUGGUCAUUUUGCUGAGAAAGCCCUCAAUCGCACCAAAUACAUCUGAAUCAGUUGGCACAUGGAAGAUGUCUUCCUUUAAGGCUGUUUGCUUUGGUGAGAGAUGUACACAAGGUGGUAUGGAACAUGUCAUUGCCCAUCUAGAGAGCUUUGUGAUUCUUUCCUUUUGAAUUUUUUAUUUCAUUGUGUUCCUUGCCUAUUAACUGGCGAUAUCCAGGAUCCCCAAGUUAUAUAAAAUCCUCUUGCAUCUCAAUGUGAAAAACAUUUAUGUUAAAUCGGUAGUCUUAGCUUUUAUGUGUACAGUAGAAUUGCAAGACAGUACUGAAGCCAUUUCCUCUGCUGUACCCUGAUAGAAUGUCAGCAUUACUUUGUAUUGUUGCUUUGUGCUAUUGUCAUUUUAUACUGUACAAACUUGGUAGUUUAUUGUACUAGGAAACAGAACAAUAAACUUUCAUUAUAAACCUAA